CUAUUUCAAUUACAGUAAAGGCACUUCUUCAACACAUCCCCCAUGGAAUACUGACCAUGACUCCACCGUGGCAACUCCCACUGUUGUAGUUGUUCAUACCUCUGGCUCCCCACACUAGAAUGUCAGGUCUCUGAAGGCAGGCACCAUGCUUUUACUUUUAUGUCUCCAGCACCAACCACAUUGUUUGAACUACAGAGCAUGUUUAAGAUUACUGAAGCACUGACAAGGUGCAGACCGGAAGCUCUAGAAACACAUCCAAGUGGAGAAGCAUGAGGAAGAACACAGAUCCUGGCUGGGAAGAAGUGUAAAAAACAUUUUAUCCUCAUAUCCCAUCACUGAGAAGAGGAUUGACGUCCAGUCUUGCAGGUAGGAAGGAUCCAAAGAUGAGAAGGAAAAGCACCAUGGUUCUCAAUGGAAAAUAUGUGGUCAAGGUCCACCCAUGCAUAAAGGUUUACUGUGGCAUUUGAGAGAGGAGAGAAGAAGAAAUCACUUUUUAGGAUUUUCCAGUGUGAGGGAGCCUUCCAGACUUUCAGAAGAAAUAAAUCCCAGGAUAGAUGAGGCUGACAUCGCAUCCCUCCCUAGUCAGUCCUAUUCUAUCACCACUGGCUGUGUGCCAAGGAAAUUGACCUUCUACUCUUCAUCUUCAAUUUUCUCAUGUCCAAAACUUCUAGGACAAUAACAA